CGCGAUUACUAGCGAAUCCAGCUUCGUGGAGUCGGGUUGCAGACUCCAGUCCGAACUGAGAGGGGAUUUAGUGAUUGGCCGGACGUCGCCGCCCAGCAGCAUUCUGUACCCCCCAUUGUAACACGUGUGUAGCCCCGGACGUAAGGGCCGUGCUGAUUUGACGUCAUCCCCACCUUCCUCACAUCUUGCGAUGGCAGUCCCGCCAGAGUGCCCAGCAUCACCUGAUGGCAACUGGCGGCAAGGGUUGCGCUCGUUAUGGCACUUAAGCCGACACCUCACGGCACGAGCUGACGACAACCAUGCAGCACCUACAUGCAUGCCCGAAGGACGAAAAGAUCUCUCUUAACAAUCAUGCACAUUUCAAGCCCGGGUAAGGUUCCUCGCGUAUCAUCGAAUUAAACCACAUGUUCCUCCGCUUGUGCGGGCCCCCGUCAAUUCCUUUGAGUUUCACCGUUGCCGGCGUACUCCCCAGGUGGAAUGCUUAAUGGUUUCCCUCAGUCACUGACAAUAUGUCGCCAAUGACCAGCAUUCAUCGUUUACUGUGCGGACUACCAGGGUAUCUAAUCCUGGUCGAUACCCGCACUUUCGAGCCUCAGCGUCAAUCGCCACCCCAGGAGACUGCCUUCGCAAUCGGAGUUCUUCGUCAUAUCUAAGCAUUUCACCGCUACACGACGAAUUCAUCUCCCUUGUGUGUAUUAAGACCGCCCGUUUCACGGCAUGCCAAGGUGGGGCCAUGAAAUUUAACCGCUG
rnacentral:rRNA from 1 species